ACGGUUGCUGCUUUCGUCUGUGUGUUUUUGUUAGUUUUUUGGGGGCAUUUGUCCUAUGCUGUUUUGAGCAGUUUUUUCUAGAAUAAACGAGUUAAUUUGGUCUAUAAAGAACUUUAAGUAGAAAUAGCUAUAAACUAGAGGUGUAAAAAAACGGGAAAAAAACCCGUCCCAGGGUUUUGUACCAACUGCCUGCUCCGCGGACCAGGCAGUUGGUGCGAAACCCUGCGAUGGAUUUUAUUUUUCUGGAUCUGGAUUACACAGCUCUACUAUAAACUAUAAAUCCAUGCUGGUGCUUCACUGCUGCCCCCCUGCGCUGUUUCCGUGUGUUUGCGCGCUUGUUGCUUAGCAACCGUCAGUGAUACACAAAGCUGAAGAUAAACAGCAUCACCUGUCUGCGUCUGAACAGAUUUUGAUGCGUGCUGUGCGAUGCCUGACACUGAACUAUUAAAACAUCCUUUAGUGGAAGAUGGAGGCAGUUUACGAGUUCAGGGUAAGAUGCCAAACACUUCCUCAGCGUGUGUGGAGAAAGCCCUGUGGCACAUUAAAGAGCUGAAGAAGAAGCUGGAGAUCAGCCGCCAGCAGGAAACUAAUAAUCAGCAUGUUCACUGCAAGGGAAAAAAACUAAAUGACAGCACCAUGGGGAUAGAUGGUGUUCUGCAGGAGGCCACGACACUUCUGCAGCGUCUGGAGUCAGAGCGACAGAAGGCUACAGAGGCUCUGCAGAAAGAACAAAUAAAAAGACAAACACUGAUCAAAAAGCAGGAAGAUCUUUUUCUGUGGAAACAGCAGCAUUUUCCUGCAGCAGUGCAAAACGAGUACGAGUCCAGUAUCAGAGACAUCACUGAGCUGAAGUGGCAUCUUAAAGUAAAGAAAGAUCAGAUGCAGAAAGUGAGGAACAGUCUGAACCACAUAGAGACACAGAAUCAGCAGCUGGUGGAGGAAAUGGAUUUUUUAAAGAAGCACGGUCCACUCAUAAAGGAGAAGCUGCAGCUGGAGAGAGAAAUGACGAAACAGGUGAAAUCAGCCCAGGCUGAGGCUGAAGACAGAUUCUCCCGGCGGUCUGAUGAUCUGAUCAGAGAACAGCAGGAUCUGGACACUGAGGAGCUUCUGGCCAAUAGAGAAAGAGAGGAAAUGAACACGGAGCUCCAGGACUCUCGGAAACAUCUCAAAGAUCAACUCUCUGAUCUCCAGAAGCUGAAGUUAUUUGGGGAUAAUUGUCGCACCAAAAUCCACGAAACUAAGAAGAAGAUUCCAUUAAAAGAGAAGCAGCUUGGUGCCACACGCCUCCAGAUUUCCUCUCUAGAAAAACAAGAAGCUAAAAUAAAUGAUACUUUAGUGGAGCUAAGAGCGAAACGAGAGAAUAACAAGAAGAAACAGCUGGAAAUUGAAGAGGUUGAUAAACAGAUCGUGAUGACUGUGAGUAUAAAUGUGUUUAUUGUUGUUUAUUGUAGUGAAAGUUGUGUGUGUUGUGUUGUUGUGUGUGUUAGUAAUGGUGUUUUAUAGCAGGUAAAUGAAGGUUAUAGUUGUGUGUUUGGGACGCAUGUUAUAAGCGUCGUUACACACGUCCUCUGGAGGGCAGGAAAGACCCGCUCAUCGUCUUUAUUACAACACCUCCAUUUUGUUCUAACUGUACUCUUAUAUCUCAAACUUCUGUCAGAAACCUUAUUUAUUUAAACUGUGAAAGUGUGAAAAAUAAUGAGAUAAUCUUUUCUAGCACUGAGUUAAAGCUGCAUCCUCAUUACAUACAUAUAUAUACAGUAUAAAAGUGUCCCAGACUGCCUGAAUAUUGCUGAAUAUUAUCCCUAUAUAACUCUGUAGGUCAUUAUUAAUAAGUAUAUGCUGUAUAUCAAGUACCCUGCAUUGCAAAAAUGGAGUCUAUUCCUAAAACAUUAGGUUUGUUAAUACAGUAUAUGUGUUACUGAGAAUACGACAGGGCACACCUUCACUGGGUUUUAUUUUAUUUUAUUUUAUUUUACCAAAUUAAAAACCUCUGGAAUAUAAUCAAGAGGAAGAUGGAUGAUCACAAACCAUCAAACCACCAAACUGAAC
rnacentral:lncRNA from 1 species